rnacentral:rRNA from 1 species
GCCCGUCACACCACGAGAGUUUGUAACACCCGAAGUCGGUGGGGUAACCUUUUUGGAGCCAGCCGCCUAAGGUGGGACAGAUGAUUGGGGUGAAGUCGUAACAAGGUAGCCGUAUCGGAAGGUGCGGCUGGAUCACCUCCUUUCU